rnacentral:rRNA from 1 species
UACGGAAGGGGCAAGCGUUGUUCGGAAUCAUUGGGCGUAAAGGGCGCGUAGGUGGUUCUGUAUGUCUACCGUGAAAGCAUACAGCUCAACUGUAUUUUGUCGGUAGAAACUGCAGGACUUGAGGCUGGGAGGGGCUGGUGGAAUUCCCUGUGUAGCGGUGAAAUGCGUAGAGAUGGGGGAGAACACUCGUGGCGAAGGCGGCCAGCUAGACCAGAUCUGACACUGAGGCGCGACAGCGUGGGGAGCAAACAGG